rnacentral:rRNA from 1 species
UACGUAGGGGGCGAGCGUUGUCCGGAAUUACUGGGCGUAAAGCGCGCGUAGGCGGCUUGUUAAGUCGGUUGUGAAAUCUCCAGGGCUCAACCCGGAAAAUGCAGCCGAUACUGGCAAGCUUGAGAGAUGAAGGGGCAAGUAGAAUUCCUGGUGUAGCGGUGAAAUGCAUUGAUAUCAGGAGGAAUACCCGUAGCGAAGGCGGCUUGCUGGGCAUCUUCUGACGCUGAGGCGCGAAAGCAGGGGGAGCAAACGGG